AGACGACGUAGUUCUUGUGCUCUUCCCGCCUCGCCUUUCUUUUCUUGGUUUCAAUCCCUGGUGUUGCAAGCCAAUUCCCGGGUCUUGUUAGGCGGGAAACACAGACUGCAUUACCCAUGUUUGAAACUGGAUUUGCGCGUUUGGGAAGCAAGAAUGGGGUUACUCUGCUGGAAAAGCUUGACAUUGCAAAUAAGGGAUUUUUACCCUACGUUCCCACUAAGUAUCUGGUACGCGGAAGAGAGGGACAAGGAAGCACAGAGGCUCAGAACAGUUCGUUGUUCACCUCGUCUUUCUACCACAUAAUUCUGCCUCUAGAAAUACAGGAGAAAGAGUAGCCACGCAAAGCUUCUAGGAACUCCUGGGAGAAGCAUUCAUAAACUCUUAUUGCUGCCAGUUCAUCUUGGGGCCUUUCGGUGUGAAGAAAUGGAUCCUUAUCAAAUACUUUUGUGAAAGAACAUUUACAUCCUGCUUUAUUCCAGAAGAAAAGAUUUAAGGUAGCUUAUUACAUAUAUACAGUAUGACAAAAAUAAGUACAUAGAAAAACAGGACAAAAGAAAACUGAAAGUGGAAAAAAUAAGAUAAAGCCAGCAGUUCUGUAUGCAAAAUGCAUGGUAUGAGGUCCUAUUGGUUUGCUGGAGAUAGGUCACAAAUAUGAGUCUAAGCUUUCUAGCAACCGGGGAAAAUUGCAAGUGGAGUAAAUGUUCUGGGUGAGCUGGAACUGGAACAAAUAGACCAGCUUGUGGAGUUGGAUGCCACUUUCCCAGAUCUCUUCCAUGAGCCUCUUAAAGGGUAACAGAAUGCUUGGAGCAGUUAUAGAUAUCUGCUUAUCUUCCAGUUUUCAUGGAGCCCAUGAAUCCCAUGAAAACAAACUUUGAGCCUCGUCUACAAUUAGUGUUCAAAUAUAUGCAGAUAGAUUUGGUGGACCAGGGACACCCAAAGAAAAUUGGAUUGCAAAGAGAGAAAGUAAGCAUCUUAGGGAAGGUCACCGCAAGGAGAGUAGGGCAAAGACAAAAGCCAGUCUCAGUGGAGUUCUGGGAGUCAGAAGGUCUUGGAGCGUGGUUCUGAGUACUGCCCGGUACUGCCCGCAGAUGAAGAUGUCCCUUCACCCCCACCCCACCAGCUUUUCUAGUGCCUUAGAAUCCUGGGUAAGAAGGGACUAUUAUAAAAAUGAAAGAGCUAUAUCACUAGCGGCCAACCAACUUUCCUGUGGGAUCUCUCUCCAAAAAAAAUGAUGUGUGAUUUCAGAAGCAGACUUAUUCAGAUUUUGAAGUUUAACUAGUGCAUAUAUUACAUAUUACCUAACACCCCAGCAGCUUCUGGGACCACUCACUAUAAACUGAAACAUUAAUUUUUUUUUAAAUCAUAAUAACUAAUCCAUGUCAUGUAAGGUACAUGAAGACUACAUUAUGCCUCAUAUCAGGUCAGGUUAGAGUUGCCAUUUAAGUAGCCUUUUUUUUUCCCAGAAUAAAAUGUAUUUAUUGAAGGAAAUUUAGAAAACAAAAAUAUAAAAAUCACCUAUAAUUUCACCAGACGUAGAUCACCACUUUUCCAUUUUAUUUCUGAAUAUAUACUUAGGUAUAAUUUAAUAUAUAAUGUUAUAAAUAUUAUAAUGUAUAUAAUAUUAGAGAGAGAGAGAGAUUUCCCCUGCUAUCUGAACGUAGAACAUUCCUAUGAAGCCUCUUAUGAGCCAAAAUGUUAUAAAGCAAAAAAGCAAUUAUCCUAGGACACAUCUUGCUAACAGAUGAACAAAAUAAAUUGAGAUAAAGUACAGAUGCUCACAGACACAGUUCAAAGUUAUGGCAGCAUGAGGAUGCUGAGUGUAGUUGAGAUGCUGAGUGUGGUUCCUAGGGAAGGAACUUGGGGGUGCUUGGUGUGUGUGCUGCGUCUGUAACAGCUUGCUGUAGGACUAAUGCUAAACACUAUAUUUUUGCUCUUUACCUUUUUUUUUUUUCCCAAAAAUGAAAAUCCUUUUUGGAUUUCUUUCGGUUAGCAGACAAAGGUACUCAUGUAGAUCUUUCAUAAAAGUGAAAUUGCAUAGAGCAAACUUUGUAAAAGCGAGGGAUAGCUAUAUACCUAUUUUAUAAAAUCAGCAUCACGCUUCAGUUCCAUUUCAUCCUACUGUGCUAAGUAUUUUUGGUGUCACAUUUAUAUGAAUCUCAGUUUUCAAAGCUUAUUUAGAACUUAAAAUGUGGGUAAGAGAUUGAGGACAGAGGAAGAGGUAAGAGGUGGAGAUCUGGAGGCUGGAGGAGACGGUCCUCCAGGCAGCAGCAGCAGUAGAGGUGGUUGGAGCCCCAUGAGGUUCAAGGGUGGGUGGGUGCCAAGGAGAGAGAAGCCUCACUUGGCAGAUACUAACACUGAGGAAGCUCUUGGCCUGAGUGUGAGCAGUGGCCCGUGGGCAGAGUCAGAGAGGUCAUAGGUUAGGGAAAUCAGCAGCUUGGAAGCAGAGACACGAGAAGGGUACCAGUCUUGUAGGAGGUAUGGUUUAGACCACUGCCAACAAGCGGUGGGUAGCAGUUCUACAGAGCACCUGAGUCUGGUUACCAGCAGACUUCAGAGCAAGGGACUAGCAGAGAGUGGUUCUGAUUACAUGUAGGAAACUGCUUCCCACUCUUUCUGAACAUGUGGCAAGACUUAAGAAAAGGAUCAGGCUAAGUAGGGUCCUGCUCCUGGUGAGACCAAGAUUAUAAAUCUAGCAGACUAAAGAGCAAACUCUUAGCUAGACCUCCAACUCAGUAGGGCAUUAGACAGUGAUGUGUGGGAGUCAGCUUGUAAUGGCUCAUGAGAGCCAGUUGUUAAACUUUCAGAAAUCUUGCAAGCCAGUUAUUAAACAGAGUCAUUAUUUAAUUUGGAUUCCUUUUCUUUCUUUUUUUCUUUUUCCCUUUUCUAGGGCCACUCCCACAGCAUAUGGAGGUUCCCAGGCUAGGGGUCUAAUCGGAGCUAUAACCGCCGGCCUACGCCAGAACCACAGCAACAUGGGAUCUGAGCCGCAUCUGUGACCUACACCACAGCUCAUGGCAAUGCCGGAUCCUUAACCCACUGAGCUAGGCCAGGGAUCGAACCCGCAACCUCAUGGUCCUUAGUAGGAUUUGUUAACCACUGCGCCAUGAUGGGAACUCCCUCCUUUUAUUUCUUUUACUUCUCUGAUUGCCAUAACUAGGACUUCAAAAACUAUAUAGAAUAAAAGUGGUGAGAGUGGACAUCCUUGUCUUGUUCUGAUCUUAAUGGAAAUGGUUUUGGCAUUUUAUCAUUAAGAAUGAUGUUAGCUGUAGCUUUGUAAUAUAUGGACUUUAUAAUGAGGUAGGUUCCCUCCAUGUCCACUUUCUGGAGAGUUUUUAUUCCUAAAUGGGUGUUGGAUUUUGUCAAAAGCUUUUUCUGCAUUUGUUGAGAUGACCAUAUAGCUUUUAGUGUUCAGUUCGUUAGUGUGAUGUAUCAGAUUGAUUGAUACAAAUAUGGAAUGCUUCACGAGUUUGUGUGCAAUCCUUGCUCAGGGGCCUUGCUAAUUUCUCUUUAUUGUUCCAAUUUUAGUGUAGGCUGCUGAAGCAAGACCAGAGUCAUUAUUUUAAAACUAAGUUAGGAGUUGCUUUGUGGCUCAGCAGUUAACGAACCUGACUAGUAUCCAUGAGGAUGUGGGUUUGAUCCCUGGCCUCCUCAGUGGGUUAAGGCUCCAGUGUUGCCUUGAUCUGUGGUGUAGGUAGCAGAUGUGGCUCAGAUCCCAAGUUGCUGUGGUUGUGGUGUAGGUUGACAGCUACAGCUCUGAUUCAACUCCUAGCCUGGAAACCUUCAUUUGCUGUGAGUGCACCCCCCAAAAAAAAGACCAAAUAAAUAAAAAAAACUAAGUUAUAUAGACUCACAAAUAAAUUAUAACAAAAACAAAGAUGGUGAUUACUUAAGACUCAUCACAUUCUAUAUAUGUUGCUACAUCUUACUGUUAUGUGUGAUCCAGAGGUUGUUCACAUGUAUCUGCGUGGUGGAAAUACUGUUGAAAUGCUACUAUGCUUUUGUUUCUAACUCUACAUUCAGUGACAUUACAUUGGCCAUGGUGGGAGUAUUUACAUCAAGGAAAUUAGUGCAUGCGACACAUCUAUAGCUUUUUCCACCAGAAAGCUCUUUGUUAAACAUUUACCAGCAGAGUUCUCGCUGGGGUGCAGUGGGUUAAGAAUCUGACUGUAGAGGCUCUGGUCACUGCAAAGGCAAGGGUUAGAGCCCCAGCCUGGUGCAGUGGGUUAAAGGAUCUGGUAUUGCCACAACUGCUGCAUAGAUCACAGCUGGGGCUUGCUUGGAUUCAGUCCCUGAUCUGGGAAUGUCCACAUGUUACAGGUACAGCAAUUAAUUUUUUUUUUUUAAUUAGCACAACACCAGGCUUAGAUAUAACAUGCAUGUUAAUAUCCUUGGGUAAUUUCAGAAAUGUCUGCAGGAAAUUGGACUUCCUGAUUGUAAAAGACUUGGGGAAUCAUGAUUUGGGAUCUUAAUAAAAUCAUGAUCUUUUUUUUUUUUUUUUGGAUUUUCAGGGCCGCAUUUGUACCAUAUGGAGGUCUCCAGGCUAGGGGUCUAAUCAGAGCUGUGGCCACUGGCCUACACCACAGCUCACAGCAACCCUGGACCCUUAACCCCCUGAGAGAGGCCAGGGCUUGAACCUGCCACCUCAUGGCUCCUAGACGGAUUUGUUUCCACUGCGCCAUGAUGGGAAUUCCAAAAUCAUGAUCUUACUUAUACUUACCUGAUAGGAAAUGCCUGGGACAGAUUAGUGCUUAGAGAAAACCAACUAUGACCAUGCUGAGACCAGAGAGAUAUGUCUAUGGAUUGUCCUCAAAGAAGGCACUUUGGAACACAGUGAACAGCAGCCUCAUGAUUCUUUUUUUUUUUUUUUUUUUUUUUUUUUUUUUUUGUCUUUUUGCCAUUUCUUGGGCCGCUCCUGUGGCAUAUGGAGGUUCCCAGGCUAGGGGUCUAAUUGGAGCUGUAGCUGCCAGCCUACACCACAGCCACAGCAACGCAGGGUCUGAGCUACGUCUGCAACCUACACCACAGCUCACAGCAACGCCGGAUCGUUAACCCACUGAGGAAGGGCAGGGACCGAACCCGCAACCUCAUGGUUCCUAGUCGGAUUCGUUAACCACUGCGCCACAACAGGAACUCCAGCCUCAUGAUUCUUUUUAGAAAACACAGCACAGACUUUCAUAGGGAUGUUUGAUAUGCCUCUUGAUAUUGGCCAAUAGCCAAUAUGAUAUGAAAGCGAGUAGGUUUAGACAGUAAAAUGUGGAGGUUGUAAUAGUAAUAUACACCUCUUUGCUGCCUUGACUCAUCCAAGAUAGCUUAUAAAUGAAUGAAUCGACAUUCAUCAGGCUGUCCUUCCAUAAAUAUGAUUCCUCUUAAUCAAGUCUUUAAUAUGUCUUAAAUGGCAGUAAGUUCUAAAUUUUACUAGCUAUACCUCAAGGGCAGACAUUGUCUAGAUCAAAUGUCACAGGCUUUUGUAGUCAGCUUGAUUCAACAAAGUUGAGAAACCAGACACGGACACACGCAGCAGUAAGAGGCCACCCCUGACAAUACAGAGCCAGACCUCAGCCAACACCUAGGCAGGGCCAAGAAUUUUCCUUAGGAUUUAGCUCUGAUUUCAUUUCAAUGCAUGUAUGAGAGAAGAAUGAAACGCCAGAGUUACCAGCUAAGUCAUAUGGCCUGUCCUCAGUUAUUUUAGCCCCCCAUUAUAAAGCCAGGUGUAAUUAAAUGCCCCUUCUUCUGCCCUUGGCCAACAACCUCCCGCUU
rnacentral:lncRNA from 1 species